rnacentral:rRNA from 1 species
UCCGUAGGGGGCUAGCGUUGUCCGGAAUCAUUGGACGUAAAGAGCGUGUAGGCGGUCCGGUAAGUCCGCUGUGAAAGUCGGGGGCUCAACCCUCGAAUGCCGGUGGAUACUGUCGGGCUAGAGUGCGGAAGAGGCGAGUGGAAUUCCUGGUGUAGCGGUGAAAUGCGCAGAUAUCAGGAGGAACACCUAUUGCGAAGGCAGCUCGCUGGGACGUAACUGACGCUGAGACGCGAAAGCGUGGGGAGCAAACAGG